rnacentral:rRNA from 1 species
GACAGAGGCCCCAAGCGUUAGGCGGAAUCACUGGGCGUAAAGCGUGUGUAGGCGGAUCGUUAAGUGUCUUGUGAAAUCCCACGGCUCACCCGUGGAACUGCUGGGCAUACUGGCGAUCUUGGGCCAACUAGGGGCAGUCGGAACAUGCGGUGGAGCGGUGAAAUGCGUAGAUAUCGCGUGGAACGCCGAAGGUGAAAGCAGACUGCUGGGGUUGCGCCGACGCUGAGACACGAAAGCCAGGGGAGCAAACGGG